rnacentral:misc_RNA from 1 species
CUUAGAGAUGUCGCUAUGCUUAGUGUGGGAGACGGUUUGACAGGUGAAACGUUAGCAGCGGCAACUUGGUUUGGUUAUCAAGGCAACUUAACGUGGAGAAGCUGCGGAGGAGCGUUUGAUGUGUCAAAAAUUUCAUUAACAAGGUUUAAUUAGCAAAAUUAGUUGAUGAGAAUGUGAACUGUGAGUGAUAUGUGCUAGAAUGAAAGCUGCUACUCGUUUUUAUAUUUUGAGAAACCGAUUCUCUUGAUAGUAUAGUUCUAACUUCGGAUUUUCGGUAUGUAUUACUUUAAGACGGGCUUUGUGAACUGUAACAGGACAGUAAGGAAGAUCAGAAGACACUCUGAACAGUAGUAUUGCUCUGUAUUUCUACAGAGGAAACCCAGCAAGUCUGAAAUAACUGCUGCAGUUAGUGCCUCUGCAGGUUUAUUGACAAAUUUAUGUGCAGUUUUUUAAGCUACGAAUCUUUCGUACCUGUAGCACAUUAUCGGGAAUUAGGGCUUGUAACCUCCUGCUUGUUUUAUAUUUUUUAUAUUCGUGUCGGGUGAAAAAGAAUGCGUUGCUUGUAAUAAAAGAUUGUGCCUGUUAGUACAAAAUGUGUUGUUUGUUUUGAAAAUUAGUGCAGCUUGUGUAGAGACGAUGGCAUUUAUGAUGAAGAAAAAGAAAUACUACAAGUUUCAAGUAGAAAUUUGCCUCGAAGAACUGACAGCGGUACCCUUCGUCAGUGCUGUUUUGUUUGCUAAAGUGCGGCUCCUGGAUGGUGGCAGCUUUACGGAAACCUCCAGUCGGGAAGAAGUGCACGAGCACACGGUGCGAUGGGGCGCGAGCUUCGAGUUCGUGUGCAAGAUGAGCGCCAAUGCGUCCACCGGCGUGCUCGACCCCUGCAUACUGAGGGUCUCCGUAAGAAAGGAAGUGAAAGGUGGAAGAUCAUUCCAGAAGCUUGGUUUUUGUGACCUGAAUCUUGCCGAGUUCGCCGGAUCUGGGGAGACGACUCGAAGGUACCUGCUAGAAGGAUACGAUACCCGGCAUAGGCAAGAUAAUUCUAUGCUGAGAGUAUCCGUUAAAAUGAAUAUGCUGUCGGGAGACAUUUUAUUUAAAGUUCCGUCGCCAUCUCUAAAACAUAAACCUGUAGUUGUACAAGAGGAAGGCUCUGAGAGGAGAGACGACUACUCCAGCGGCUCAGUGGCGGGAUCUGUGGCAAGCGGCAGCUCGGGAUUUGGCAGCUUGCCAAAGAAGAGGCCGGCCUUGUUCUCAUCAGAACUGAUAUCAGGAGCGGGGCAGGGUGCUACAGAACCUCAGGAACAACCAGAGGGUACAGUAUCAGUAGCACCUGAAGUUGAUGAAACUCAUGAAUUGGGUCAUUCACGAAACUCUUCCAAUACGAGCCAAAUGAGUCGUGCCUCGGGAUACAGCUCUCUAAAUAGCCAGUCCCAACACAGUAGACAAAGCAGUUCUGGUGACUCGGGACACAUACGGUCCCCAUCGUGGCCGGUUUCGGUGCUGCGUAUGCAUCUGUGCACUGAUGUUGCUUCCUUGAGCAAUCCUACAGCCACCUCUUUGAGCACUCAGUCUCCACCAAAACCUAUAGUGUCAGAGAAGGCACAGUGGCAUUUGUGGCCCAGCUCGUGGUCUCUCGGUCUGGGCAGCAUGUGGCGUCAGCGUAGCUCCUUGUCUCCAUCUAGCUGCAAAGAUAUACCUUCCACAUCUCCCUCCUCAAUGUAUUUUAAAAGGUCUGCUCCUGGUGCAUUCCAUUUUCCUCCUUGGGCUUCCCCGCGCUUUUCACCCAAAGCUGCCUCCUCUCCUGGCAUGUUACAUCAGCACAGUCCUAGUUCCAUUAGAAGCCUGGAUUCCUCUGAAGGUGGAUAUGGACACAUCGAAAGAAUCACAUCCAGGAUUUUCAAGUGGAUUGUGUGUUCAUUUUAUCUGUGAUCUGUGUGAGUGAUUUCACGGCUGUGACCAAUUACAGCCAACUGGUGUCAUAAACUACAUUGGAAAAUGCCUUCUUAGAAGACUGGCGAAGGAAGUAUAUCUUUCUUGUGUGAAUCAAACCUGCUUUCAAGAGUUUAUCUGUUGGAAAUCCUAGCUCUGGCUCUGGACUAAGUGAAACUGGUUCUCUUGAUCGUGCAAAGGCAGCAAUGGAACGACGGAAAAAGGCAGCUGAAGAUGUAACAGUUCCAGGUCGUGUUGAAGUGAC